GGGGGCACUGCACAGCCGACUAUUUACCUUGGAAUGGUGCUGAUGCACAAGGUGAAUUUUGAUGCGAGAUAGAAUAUGACAUGAUCCACGACUACAAGGUUCUCUAGGACGUGUUUCAAAGCUGGAGAUAAGCAAGGCGAUCAAGAUAUAGAACCCAUGGCUGUCUCAGACUCCCGUGUGCUUCUCACUUGAGCAGAAGCUGUAUCUAAGAAAAAUAUUCAUGUAGUGUUCAAGGGAAGUUGUUUCAUUGCUAAAUAGUGAAAGAAGUUCAGAUUUAUCUCUUUCAAUAUUUGCGGAGAGGCUAAAUAACAAUUUGUAUUUCAUUUUAGUGGAAUGAUAAGUGGUUGGUACAUUUUCUUAGCAACCAAUAUAUGGAACAG